AACACCAAUAAAUACCCAAAUUUGGCCUGGACAGCUUUUGCUUCUUCCACAAGAAUCUCUGGGGUCUAAGAAAAGUCAAAGGCCAAGCACAGUGCCCUCUGUGUGGAAAGGUCAGGGGAACACUUUGGACUCAAACCUCCAUACUCCAAAGGCCUCAGGAGGCACCUCGGAAUCUCUAGGAUACAACCACUAAUCAACAGGAAAUCAACAGAAACAAAGGGAGUGCCCAUUAACUGAGGAAUAGCUGAAGAAAUUAUGGUAUGGGAAGAUAAUAGGAUACUAUUGUGCCUUAAGAAAUGACUUGUAUGAACUUACGCGGAGUAGUGAACAAAACCUGAAGAACAAUUUAUACAAUAAUAUCACUAUUAACUACAAGCAAGAACUCUGAUUAUAUAAUGACCAACCAUGAUUACAGAUAAAGAUGUAUGUUUAAAAGCUCCUUUUCAGUAAAAUCAUAAGUAUUAAGAAAUAA